ACGUUAGCGGCGGACGGGUGAGUAACACGUGGGCAACCUGCCCCUUAGACUGGGAUAACUCCGGGAAACCGGGAGCUAAUACCGGAUAAUCCCUUUCUCCACCUGGAGAGAGGGUGAAAGAUGGCUUCGGCUAUCACUAAGGGAUGGGCCCGCGGCGCAUUAGCUAGUUGGUAAGGUAACGGCUUACCAAGGCAACGAUGCGUAGCCGACCUGAGAGGGUGAUCGGCCACACUGGGACUGAGACACGGCCCAGACUCCUACGGGAGGCAGCAGUAGGGAAUCUUCCGCAAUGGACGAAAGUCUGACGGAGCAACGCCGCGUGAGUGAGGAAGGCCUUCGGGUCGUAAAGCUCUGUUGUGAGGGAAGAAGCGGUACCGUUCGAAUAGGGCGGUACCUUGACGGUACCUCACCAGAAAGCCACGGCUAACUACGUGCCAGCAGCCGCGGUAAUACGUAGGUGGCAAGCGUUGUCCGGAAUUAUUGGGCGUAAAGCGCGCGCAGGCGGCUUCUUAAGUCUGAUGUGAAAUCUCGGGGCUCAACCCCGAGCGGCCAUUGGAAACUGGGGAGCUUGAGUGCAGAAGAGGAGAGUGGAAUUCCACGUGUAGCGGUGAAAUGCGUAGAGAUGUGGAGGAACACCAGUGGCGAAGGCGACUCUCUGGUCUGUAACUGACGCUGAGGCGCGAAAGCGUGGGGAGCAAACAGGAUUAGAUACCCUGGUAGUCCACGCCGUAAACGAUGAGUGCUAGGUGUUAGGGGUUUCGAUGCCCGUAGUGCCGAAGUUAACACAUUAAGCA
rnacentral:rRNA from 2 species